AAAAGUAUAUGUGUUCCAAAAUUUUACAUCGGUCCAUAUUUGACCACCUUCUUUACAAAGGAAUUGACUAUCUUUAGGACCAAGGAAGUUGACUGCCUUAUCUAUUCCUUGUUGACUACCUUAUUCCCCAAGGAAACAUAGUUAUAAAAACGGUACCCGAAAGCUUCAGUUCUCACACCUUCCGCCAACUCAAACAAAUUUCCGGUCACCUUGUUUGUUUUCGGGCAAACCUUCAUUAUAUUCUGACCCUUUUGUUCAUCUCAGGUUUCAGAAGUUACAACCCAGUGUGGACCAGUUAAACAUAAUUUUGAACCAUCAUUAAAGGUUAGCAGGGAUGGCGGGAAAGUGUGAAGAGAGCUAAUGUAACACCUCGAAAAUUCAUGUCCAAUAAUGUAUUGACACGUGUCAUAAGCUUUGAACGUGUGAAAGAUUACGUAUGAAGGACUAAAGUUGACAAACAAGGAAAGUAUGUGAACAUAAGGGUUCAACAUGCCAAAAAUGAAUAAAUAUACUUUAAAAUAACCCUACAUGAUGUUUAUAUCCUUAAACGAAUAAAUCAUGGAUCAUACAAAGCUAAUUGUGAAAGAA